GACGAACGCUGGCGGCGCGCCUAACACAUGCAAGUCGAACGGAGCUGAGAGAAGCUUGCUUUUCUUAGCUUAGUGGCGAACGGGUGAGUAACGCGUGAGUAACCUGCCCUGGAGUGGGGGACAACAGUUGGAAACGACUGCUAAUACCGCAUAAGCCCACGAUCCGGCAUCGGCUUGAGGGAAAAGGAUUUAUUCGCUUCAGGAUGGACUCGCGUCCAAUUAGCUAGUUGGUGAGGUAACGGCCCACCAAGGCGACGAUUGGUAGCCGGACUGAGAGGUAGAACGGCCACAUUGGGACGGGGACACGGCCCGGACUCCUGCGGGAGGCAGGAGUGGGGGAUAUUGCACAAUGGGGGAAACCCUGAUGCAGCGACGCCGCGUGGAGGAAGAAGGUUUUCGGAUUGUAAACUCCUGUCGUUAGGGACGAUAAUGACGGUACCUAACAAGAAAGCACCGGCUAACUACGUG
rnacentral:rRNA from 1 species